CCUACGGGUGGCAGCAGUGAGGAAUAUUGGUCAAUGGGCGGGAGCCUGAACCAGCCAAGCCGCGUGAGGGAAGAAGGUACAGCGUAUCGUAAACCUCUUUUGUCAGGGAACAAAGGCGGGGACUAGUCCCCGGAUGAGGGUACCUGAAGAAAAAGCAUCGGCUAACUCCGUGCCAGCAGCCGCGGUAAUACGGAGGAUGCGAGCGUUAUCCGGAUUUAUUGGGUUUAAAGGGUGCGCAGGCGGUAUGUCAAGUCAAGGGUGAAAUCCCCGCGCUCAACGUGGGAACUGCCUUUGAAACUGGCAAACUUGAGUUUGUGAGAGGAUAGUGGAAUUCCAGGUGUAGGAGUGAAAUCCGUAGAUAUCUGGAGGAACAUCAGUGGCGAAGGCGACUAUCUGGCACAUAACUGACGCUGAGGAGCGAAAGCGUGGGUAGCAAACAGGAUUAGAUACCCGUGUAGUC
rnacentral:rRNA from 1 species